GAUGAACGCUGGCGGCGUGCUUAACACAUGCAAGUCGAACGAAGCACCUCUCCCGAAGAUUGCCACAGCUUGCUGUAGAUUGAUUCAUUUGAGGUGACUGAGUGGCGGACGGGUGAGUAACGCGUGGGUAACCUGCCUCAUAGAGGGGGACAACAGUUGGAAACGACUGCUAAUACCGCAUAGUAAGAAGAAUUCGCAUGUUUUCUUCUUGAAAGAUUUAUCGCUAUGAGAUGGACCCGCGUCUGAUUAGCUAGUUGGUAAGGUAACGGCUUACCAAGGCGACGAUCAGUAGCCGGCUUGAGAGAGUGAACGGCCACAUUGGGACUGAGACACGGCCCAAACUCCUACGGGAAGCAGCAGUGGGGAAUAUUGCACAAUGGGGGAAACCCUGAUGCAGCGACGCCGCGUGAGUGAAGAAGUAUUUCGGUAUGUAAAGCUCUAUCAGCAGGGAAGAUAAUGACGGUACCUGACUAAGAAGCCCCGGCUAACUACGUG
rnacentral:rRNA from 1 species